UUGAACGCUGGCGGCAUGCUUUACACAUGCAAGUCGAACGGCAGCACGGGGGCAACCUUGGUGGCGAGUGGCGAACGGGUGAGUAAUAUAUCGGAACAUAUCCGGAAGUGGGGGAUAACGUACCGAAAGGUACGCUAAUACCGCAUAUGCCCUGAGGGGGAAAGGAGGGGAUCGUAAGACCUUUCGCUUUCGGAGUGGCCGAUAUCGGAUUAGCUAGUUGGUGAGGUAAAGGCUCACCAAGGCGACGAUCCGUAGCUGGUCUGAGAGGACGACCAGCCACACUGGAACUGAGACACGGUCCAGACUCCUACGGGAGGCAGCAGUGGGGAAUUUUGGACAAUGGGGGAAACCCUGAUCCAGCCAUGCCGCGUGAGUGAAGAAGGCCUUCGGGUUGUAAAGCUCUUUCAGCCGGAAAGAAAGCGCACAGGUUAAUACCUUGUGUGGAUGACGGUACCGGAAGAAGAAGCACCGGCUAACUACGU
rnacentral:rRNA from 1 species